GACAGAGGUUGCAAACGUUGUUCGGAAUUACUGGGCAUAAAGCGCACGUAGGUGGUUCGUUAAGUCGUGUGUGAAAUGCCCCGGCUCAACCGGGGAAUUGCGCACGAUACUGGCGAGCUAGAGGUCGAGAGGGGUGAGUGGAACUCCUGGUGGAGCGGUGAAAUGCGUAGAUAUCAGGAGGAACACCGGUGGCGAAAGCGGCUCACUGGCUCGAAUCUGACACUGAGGUGCGAAAGCUUGGGUAGCAAACGGG
rnacentral:rRNA from 1 species